UUUUAACAUUUGCUUAUUCAAUAUUAAGUAAACUUGCACGUAAACUAUUUAAGCUUAGCCAAACAUAAACAAAAGAAUGUAGGUUGCUUUCCAAAAACAAUAACUUUUCUUUGAGAGUAAAUAUUCGAUCAUCAAUGUUACUCCCAAAAUUCACAAGAUGUAUGAGGAAAUACGAGAUCUAAAGAAUAACCAAACACAACUCAGAAUGUGCACACUCCCCCCAAAAUAUUGGCAAAACAAAUAUCAUGUGCAAGUUUUCAUGUGAUCAUUCUAGAGAUGGCAA
rnacentral:lncRNA from 1 species